AGGAUUAACGCUGGCGGCGUGCCUGACACAUGCAAGUCGAACGAGGCCGCAAGGCCGAGUGGCGGACGGGUGAGUAACACGUGACCAACCAACCUCGAAGUUGGGAAUAGCUCUGCGAAAGUAGGGGUAAUACCGAAUGUGGCCCAGGGCGGGCAUCCGCCUUGGUCUAAAGAUUCAUCGCUUCGAGACGGGGUCGCGGCCUAUUAGCUUGUUGGUGAGGUAAUAGCUCACCAAGGCAUCGACGGGUAGCUGGUCUGAGAGGACGAUCAGCCACACUGGGACUGAGACACGGCCCAGACUCCUACGGGAGGCAGCAGUGGGGAAUCUUGCGCAAUGGGCGAAAGCCUGACGCAGCAACGCCGCGUGGAGGACGAAUGCUUUCUGAGUUGUAAACUCCUUUCAGCAGGGACGAUUGUGACGGUACCUGCAGAAGAAGCACCGGCCAACUACGUGCCAGCAGCCGCGGU
rnacentral:rRNA from 1 species